CGAACGCGUUGGCCCAAUUGAUUGAUGGUGCUUGCACCUGAUUGAUUUUGGUCGCCAACGAGUGGCGGACGGGUGAGUAACACGUAGGUAACCUGCCCAGAAGCGGGGGACAACAUUUGGAAACAGAUGCUAAUACCGCAUAACAGCGUUGUUCGCAUGAACAACGCUUAAAAGAUGGCUUCUCGCUAUCACUUCUGGAUGGACCUGCGGUGCAUUAGCUUGUUGGUGGGGUAACGGCCUACCAAGGCGAUGAUGCAUAGCCGAGUUGAGAGACUGAUCGGCCACAAUGGGACUGAGACACGGCCCAUACUCCUACGGGAGGCAGCAGUAGGGAAUCUUCCACAAUGGGCGCAAGCCUGAUGGAGCAACACCGCGUGAGUGAAGAAGGGUUUCGGCUCGUAAAGCUCUGUUGUUAAAGAAGAACACGUAUGAGAGUAACUGUUCAUACGUUGACGGUAUUUAACCAGAAAGUCACGGCUAACUACGUGCCAGCAGCCGCGGUAAUACGUAGGUGGCAAGCGUUAUCCGGAUUUAUUGGGCGUAAAGAGAGUGCAGGCGGUUUUCUAAGUCUGAUGUGAAAGCCUUCGGCUUAACCGGAGAAGUGCAUCGGAAACUGGAUAACUUGAGUGCAGAAGAGGGUAGUGGAACUCCAUGUGUAGCGGUGGAAUGCGUAGAUAUAUGGAAGAACACCAGUGGCGAAGGCGGCUACCUGGUCUGCAACUGACGCUGAGACUCGAAAGCAUGGGUAGCGAACAGGAUUAGAUACCCUGGUAGUCCAUGCCGUAAACGAUGAGUGCUAGGUGUUGGAGGGUUUCCGCCCUUCAGUGCCGGAGCUAACGCAUUAAGCACUCCGCCUGGGGAGUACGACCGCAAGGUUGAAACUCAAAGGAAUUGACGGGGGCCCGCACAAGCGGUGGAGCAUGUGGUUUAAUUCGAAGCUACGCGAAGAACCUUACCAGGUCUUGACAUCUUGCGCCAACCCUAGAGAUAGGGCGUUUCCUUCGGGAACGCAAUGACAGGUGGUGCAUGGUCGUCGUCAGCUCGUGUCGUGAGAUGUUGGGUUAAGUCCCGCAACGAGCGCAACCCUUGUUACUAGUUGCCAGCAUUAAGUUGGGCACUCUAGUGAGACUGCCGGUGACAAACCGGAGGAAGGUGGGGACGACGUCAGAUCAUCAUGCCCCUUAUGACCUGGGCUACACACGUGCUACAAUGGACGGUACAACGAGUCGCGAACUCGCGAGGGCAAGCAAAUCUCUUAAAACCGUUCUCAGUUCGGACUGCAGGCUGCAACUCGCCUGCACGAAGUCGGAAUCGCUAGUAAUCGCGGAUCAGCAUGCCGCGGUGAAUACGUUCCCGGGCCUUGUACACACCGCCCGUCACACCAUGAGAGUUUGUAACACCCAAAGUCGGUGGGGUAACCUUUAGGAGCCAGCCGCCUA
rnacentral:rRNA from 1 species